UACAGAGGGUGCGAGCGUUAAUCGGAAUGACUGGGCGUAAAGCGCGCGUAGGCGGUUAUAUAAGUUGGGUGUGAAAUCCCUGGGCUCAACCUAGGAAUUGCAUUCAAAACUGUAUGACUUGAGUGAAGUAGAGGUGAGUGGAAUUUCCGGAGUAGCGGUGAAAUGCGUAGAUACCGGAAGGAACACCAGUGGCGAAGGCGACUCACUGGGCUUUAACUGACGCUGAGGUGCGAAAGCGUGGGGAGCAAAC
rnacentral:rRNA from 1 species